AAAACAGUAGACUUUCUGAGGCAGUCUCAGAUAUCCCUUCCUGAAGUUAUGAUCCAAGACCGAUUAUCAGACAAAUGUUGGACCCCAGUACUCUAAGAAUGUUAUAAAUUCAUCACCCUGAAAAGAAACAUUAUAAGCCAUGACCCAGGGAGUUAGAGAUCCUGCACAGGACUGAGACUGACCAGAAGAGGUCUUCAAAGUAAAGGUAGUUUGAAGAUAAGGUAGGAGAUGACCGGCAG